AAAGAUCGCAGCCUUCGGCAGCUCCUACAGGAUGUAUGCCAUCCCCUGUAGGAGCUGCCGAAGGCUGCGAUCUUU
rnacentral:misc_RNA from 1 species